CUAGUGUUAUUCAAUUUUCAAAGAUUUUAAAAUUCUUUGUAUUGUAAUUUGAUUUCAAAUCAUCUCUUCUGGAUUCUCUUGAACAAAUGAUUUAAUUCAAAAUUCAAGGUAUUUUGCAGAGAAUUUGGAAUUAUCAACUUAAACUAUCUUAAAAUUUUAAAAUUUGAUAGAUUACAAAACAUUAAUGAUUGAUUUUAAAUCAGUCAUUGAAUAACACCUCCUUAUGACUGUAAAUAGUUACAACUAGGUGAAAAGGUAAGAAAUCUCAAUAAUUUAUUUUUAAAAAUUAUUAUGCAUAUUUUUCCAAAAAUUAAAGAUUUUACAUCAUAUAACUAGAAAUAUAAUAACUAACUGUUAAACUGUUACAUGUAAUUUUAUUAAAACCAUACAAAUUUUAUCACAUUUUUUUAUAAGCAUAUAAACUUUUGUGGUUUUUGUUCCUUAAUAUUUUUAGUUUUCUGGAAUUUAAAAAUAUAUAGAUAGUAAGUUUUAAAUAAUUAAUAACAAUAAGUAUAUACACACAUAUCUUGGUUAAAAUUUUAAACAUGUAACAAUCUAGUUGAUAAUUAAUGAUUACAUAUAUAUUACUUCCUUAAAAUUAUUAAAUUUAAUAAAUUUUUUAAUUUUUUUAUUUAAUUAGCACACUUUAUAAGCAUAAUACAAGAUAAAUUCACAUUCUUUUUAAAUAGGACUACUAAACAAGUUAAAGGACAUCCAUUGGUUAAGAAAACCAUGAAGAUACAGACAUCUCUCAUGUGCAUAUUCAUCAUCUCCCUAUUUACUUUGCAUCAGUGUGCAAGGAUCUAUAUUAGAGAAAUGGAUAAAUCUAACAUAAUCAUAGACUCAAAUUGUUAUCAUACAAAUUGGUUUAACAAAAGGGGUUGGUGUUGUACAGCCUUAAAAGGUGAUCCAUGUUGGGGCGACAAAGCCUCCUGUGAUUCAACAUGUCCUCGUCCUCUUUCUUCUUCUCCUUAAAACAAUAUAUAAUAAAAUUAAUGUAUUAAUUUGUUUAUGCAUGAAAGUAAUAAAUAAUAUAAAGUUAUCUAA